UCAAAAAAUGGUAACUUUUUAUUUCUCAUAAACAAUAAAAAAAUAUAUAAAAAUUUAAACACCAUUAACCAAACCUGGCUUUUGAAAACUGUACCUGCGCUUAACAGUGUAAAAAAGAAAAAUUGGGCAGCGGGAAACGGAGCGGAGUGGAGAUCUAAAUAAGAAAACCCAACAGUCUUGUGCCUCUGCUGAGCAAUUGCGCCCUCCAAAAUCCACGCCUUCAGAAUUCCUCGCUUCUCUUCGAUAGUUCGGACUUUUGGCAUUUUGGAACUUGGAAGUGUUCUCAUACUCUAAAAGCCUAAAUUUGAUUGUAUUCUGUUUCAGAUAGCUGUUACUCAGUGUUCUCUGAGCCUGAGGUGGUUGAACCCAUAAAGCGAGGAAUCACUCAAAAGUGCUGAGGAAGGGAGUCCUUCACCUUAUCAGUCGAUCAUGAAGGAUUUGGGAAGUCUACAUCAAGGCCUUUGGUGGAGGAUUUAUUGGCAACAUUUGGCAAUCAUGACUAAAGCAAAUGCACCUGUAUGAUGUUCCAUGGAACUGAUGUUCUUUGCUACCGUACUAUUUCAGCUGCUUGCACCAUCCUGGAAACAGGUUUUCUCUAGAACUUUUAUCCUCAAUUGAUUUAUGUGUGAAUUGAUCAAUAUACUACAUAAACUGAGUAGUAGGUGUCUGUUGUCACUUAUUCAAUGUGUCAGUUCAGUUAGAACAUAGCGCUGGGAUUGGGAACCCUUGCUGAGCAGUUGAGAUUGUUAAAUUUGGAAAGAGUGUCUAGAUAUUAAUCACUGAUUCAUUUUAUAUGGGCUUAUAUAAGUUACCGAGUUGUUUUGUAUAUCAAAAUGAAUAUUAUAAUCCAAUUAAUUAUAUUCACCUUUGUAUUCUUAUAUAUUUCAUGUGUGGGAUUCUCAACAGAGAUAUUGCUAAAAAAUUACCGUGUAACAUGGUAGAACAUGUGUUAGUCCGCUUCCCACAAAUUUCUACUGCAACUUUGUAGUUAGGACAGCUAGUAAUUUGUUAAGGAAAGCCAUUAAUCAGCUAUGCCACUAGCGGAUUGGGACUAUUAAGAAUAGUUUAGAUUCUGGAUGUUGUCCUGCAAAUUUGCUGUUUUGCAUGAGGUGUUUGUUCACAAAAUCAUGUAGAUAUUGCAAUCAUAGACUAAGACUUCAGCGUUGCACUUAGUGGUGCCCUUAAUCAUAUACAAGAAAUAUACUUUCCCCUUCUCCUUUGGGGGGGGGGGGGGGCGAGGAGGAGGGAAGAAUAGAAAACCUUAAGAUUGUUAUCAAUUUAUGCAUACCAUCACCAACAGUAUGAGAAACCUUGUGGAUUUGAGGUAUGCUUCUCUUAUGAACUCCUAUGAUUUGAGGUGGCCCUUUGACAUACAGCCACUCAUAUUACUUAAAAUUGUCCAAUUCACGAUCAACUUAAUAGUUUGUCUAAAAUUUCUGGAUUUAUGGACAUCCUAAUUGAUUGGCGAAAUUCUCCCUUGCCUGUUUUAAGCCAACAGAAAUGGCAUGAAUAUGAUCUUUAAGCAGCAAAGGCAGCUAGAUAUUUAUUAUAGCACUUAUCUGGCUAAACGAGGGAAACCAAAUUUGGUUUUUGGUAAAUUAUGUAACCAACAAUUAAUGGUGAAUUCAAGGCACUUGGAAGUUGGAAGAGACAAAGAGCUUAAAUGUAGUGUAAAUAAAUUAGAAAAGUGAAUGUUGAGAAAAACCUUUGGAGGUUAAGGCCUGACUCGCCACCUGAUUUUGAUGUGUUAGCCAUUUAAGGAUUCAUAACACCUUUACCUGGUGUAAGUUGAAUUAAUCCUCUAAUGCGGGACAAACAUUGGAUGAACAACUUCCUGUGGCAAAAGAAGGGAGAAGAACAUCUUGUUGUAAGCAGAACUUGAAGAAUCUAUGUGGAGAGUUUGUUUUGAGAAUGUUACAAAUUUAAAUACAAUAAAGAGCACUAUGUAGUUGAAACUGCAAUGGAAGUCAAGGUUCAGUAGCAUGGGAUGGCAUUCAUAAGGGUAGCCUCUGUAAAAAGAAAGGGGAAUGUUGUGUACAAUAUAUGAAUCCCCCCCAAACCUCACAAAUAGAGGAGCCUCGUGCAUUGGGGCUCCCUCAAAAAAUUGAACCAUGUUCUAAUAAAAUUGGAAUUGCUAGAAGAUUCUUAUUUCAAGGUAAUAGAGCACUGCGGUGAAGUUAGAUUCUGUAGAGUAUCUCCUUGCCUUUUCUCAUUGCGGUGAAAAUUUCCAUAGAAAAUAUGGUAUUCUUUACCUUAAUUAUAUAAAGUUGGUAAUCUUAAGCUUAAUAUACAAAAAUCGAAUGUUAGAUUUGUACAUAAGUCUUAAUUCCUUUUGAAAAAAAAAUCCCCUCUGCUCUUUGUUUGUUUAUGAACCGAAGAGAAAGGAAGAGGAGAAAUGAAAUGAAAUUUUAGUCAUUUCUUUGCUUGGAUGCUACAGGAGGAAGGAAUAGUUGAGAGAGGAAACUUUUUUUUUCUUUCCCAAUUUCCUUUAGAAGUCACAAAACAUUUUUCUCAAAGUUUUUCCUCAAAGUUUGAGACUAACCAAGGGAAACGAAGAAUAUUGUCUUCCUUUUCUCAUGCAUGUAACUAAAGAUAGGAAAUUCAGCUUUCUUCAAUACUUUGUGAAACACUGAAACAACAUUAGAGAAAAUUAAUAUCAAUUAUAUUCUCUUCUUUUCCCUCCUUUUCCCUCGUUGAUUUUCUUCCUCUGCCUUUUUAUAGUUACCCAAAGUCCAAACCAAGCAUUAUGGUUUUAAAUUUCUCUUCUUGAAGUUUAUGGCAUUUGAAUUUAUGAAUUCCUCAAAUCUUAUCUUUGUGUUAUGCAGAUCUAGAUCAAGUUUACUAUGAGGUUAAAAAGAACUACAAAGAUGUGUAAAGGAACGGUCCUUUUCUAUUUCAAAAAAAGGUGCUAUGGCUGACAAGAUUAAUCUUGGCAUGCUCAGAUCUUUGGUAACAUUAACACACAAUCCGAAGUAAGUUUUGUUUCACAGAAUAAAUGACAUAAGAAGUUAAAGUAAAUAAUUAACACAAUCAAGUUCUUAAACGAUGAUGAAUACAAUAAUAGUUUUCCUUCUGUUUUUCCCAUCCUUUCAGCUUAGGAAAGAUAGUUUUUUUCCCUUGCUUUUUUUCUACCAAACCCACCAUCUGGAUUAUUCACUUAUAUAACUGCUGCGAAAUGGCAUAUUCCUGUGGCAACUUUUAGAAUUCCAUUCUCUGAGAUAUCUCACUGUGCCACCAAUUGUAGUAUGAUGUGGGACAACUAAACAAGCUAUUCAUAUGUAUUUUCAUAAUUCGUCUAAUUCUUUGGUUCAACAACAAGAUGGCUAGUCGGAUGAGUGGAUGAGUGAAUCUUAUAUUAAGUAGAUACAUCGUUCUUUGUAUUUAAAUGUUGGGGAAAGAAAAUUAGGUGUAUUUUAUUUUGGCUAAAAGUUUUAUUCUUUAGUGGUAAACUCUUGCUUCUAAAAACUUAUUUUGUUGAGUCUACAUGUGUAAAAUAUUAAUCUUGCAUGGGUUUUUCUUCCAGCUUGGCCAUUGAAGAGUUUUUUGUUCAUAUGUAUCAAUAGACAACAAAGCUAUAUCCUGGUGCUUAGAUUUUUUGUAGUUGCUUGUAUUUCUAUUAUUUUCUGGAGUCUGUCAUUUUGGUAUGUUUUUUUAUGUGACCACAUAACAAAUAAUGGCUUCUUCUGUUCUUUCUUUCCUCUCGUUUUCUUCCUCAGUACUCAAAUUAAUUGUUAGAAAAGAAUGGUGUCAGUUUCAGGGUCCAUUUAGUUUUAUCCUUUCACCUAAAUAGUGUGGAAGUUUCGUGGGGACUGCUGAAACAGUUGAAGAUUUCAUGAAAGAACCUUGUCAUCUUGUUUUUAUGUGGUCCAAUUUUACUAAAAGUUUCCACAUGGUCUAGAUAGACAUAUGAAAAUUGUUCCCCCCUUUUUUCUUUCGCUUUGUCUUUCCUCUUUCUUGCCUUCAUUUUUCACCAAGAACAUUGAUGUGACUUUGCAGUUUGCAAUAGUAACAAGUAAAUAUAAUGCAACCUUUGGAUGGUUUAUGUUCACAUUGUGUAUGAUGAACUUCUAGGAGCUUGGUUUAGAUGCCACAUUUGUUUUCCUAAACCAAAGUUUGUUAAUAGUUGCCAACAUAUUCUUUUACUCUUCGAAUGAUUUUUCAAGAAAAUAAUUCGAAUGAAUUCUUAUAAAAUCAUGUAUGAUUUUAUUUUCAUGCAUGUUGAAAAAAUUUUAAAUUAAAAAUAAUUUAAUUUUUUUUAUUCCAAAUAAGAGAAUGGUAAAAAAAGAAAUCAUUUGAAUUGAAUUUUUAUAAAAAUUUUCAUUUCAAACGAAGAGUUAAAGCAUUUAUCACACAUUUUACACUGUUAUUCUUUAUAGAUUAUGGAAUCUGCUUAAGACUCGGUGCAGGGAUGCAUCUGAAUGAACAGAGAACUCAUUAAAUUUCACACAGCUACCAUGACUUAAAGACUGAUACUUCGAACCAACUAUGUUUAUAAGAUGUAAAUCCGCAUUUAUAUUUGGGCAAACUUGUUUCGUGAAGAUUAGCAUACGAAAUCAAGUGGGUAUAUGCAAAGCCUGCAUAAUCCUUUUCAUUUGGGUGUUUAUUGUUCAUUUGUUUCAUUGUACAACAACUGUAUUAAAUGUGGACGAGGCUUGGAUCCUAUAGACGGUUAGAUUAUUCGUCGCUUUUC